AUGGCCAGAUUUGUAAGGAAGAAGCAUGCAGCAAUCUUUGGCUGUCUAUUUGGUGCUCCUGGAGGAGCUGCUUGUGUAGUUCCACCACCUGGGCUGGAAGAUGGAACUCUCGCAGGUACGGAGGGCAAAGGUGACUCUGUCACAUCAUUCUCUGUUAGCACUGGGUUAGGAGCCUCAGCUGGUGGCAAGUUUUCACGUGUAAUUAGUUGCAUGAGACUGCCUGGCUGAACAGAGGCCAUGUAAGGAGGCGUGCUGUUGCCCAAAUUUAAACAACGGUUCUUUUUGUAUCUAGCUGAUGUUCGAGGGAAGUCUGUGAUAACACCACUAACGUUGGCACCCAUGACAUAGGAGUUAACCUCCACAUUGGCAUCCGAGAAGAAAUCCCAUGCUUGAGAUACAAAUUCAUUGCU
rnacentral:misc_RNA from 1 species